rnacentral:tRNA from 1 species
GGAUGUAUGUCUGAGCGGUUGAAAGAGUCGGUCUUGAAAACUUCGGAAGAUGGUUAAGGAUACUAUACAAAGACUAGCUUUCUAUUUCGAAUCUCAAGUCGGAAGAAGCAAGGGAAGUUGAACUUUCUAUAGUUA